CAGAUGGCUUCUGAAAUGCUUUCCUUCCCCUGAAUAAAUGGACGUCCAUUUCACUUACUAAUAAAGGCAUUACCAAGCCACUACAAAACAUGAAAUUACAUAUGAGGCCUGUAUUACAUUUCUCUUGAAGGAGUGUUAUUCUCCGUGAUCAAAAGGCAAGUCUCUGUGGAGGCAUGCCAUUAUUGACAAAAGGCUCUCCUCCUGAAGGAGAAAUCUUUAUAUGAAAACAAAACAUCAAAGAGAUAUGACAGUUAAAGCAUUCUUCAAACUUUUGCUUCACUGUCAGGAAGAAAGGAAAAUGCUGGAGGAAGUAAAACUCAGACCAGGUGGGACAAGACCUGGAAAGGCAUGUUUGUUCAAUUUUCUCAGCGUCCUCUUUGUUAUCUGUGGACUUGGUUAUCAAGGGUUGUGUUAAAACAGCAGUGGACAUAGACAAUGUCACUGUCCUUCCACUUGUAGGAUCAUUUCCAAAAUGUGCACAUAGAAUAAGAUGAAACACAUAUGGUGCUAUGGAGCCUCACAUGUAUAGACAACCUAUAAUCUUUAGGGCAUGACCAAGCUUAAAAUUCUGGAUAUUAAACUUAAAAGGCGCAGUGGCACGUGUUGCAGUUUGGCAUCUACCCCACUUAGCGACACUCUGGUGAUUUGAAUUCUGCGGCUUCUUUGGUCUUACAGGGAUCUUCAGUAUUUUGAGUCUUCUCUUUCAACUAUUUCCCAGACCUAUUUUUCAGGUCAAGAGAAGCAAGGGACUGACACCAAAAAAUAACUCAUUAUUGAGGUGGAACUAAUCUGAAUUCUCUGAAAACCUGGGUUCAGGCUUGCAUAUUUUCUCCGCCAUUUGUGCAAUCUUAGGAAAGAUGCUUUACUGCUCCGUUUUUCUUUUGUGUGAAAUGAGACAGGAAGGAAUUCUCCCUUGGAACUGCUGUGAGGAGCAAAUGAAAUGUACCUGGGAUGCUUCUAAGCUCUGUUCCUGAGUAUCAACAGGUCCUGGGACUGAAGAUGUCAGGAGACACAUCCUUGAUCCUUUAGUGAUAUCAUUAUGCUUUAUAAAAUGGGACAUCAGGACCAUGAUUUCUUGAGACUGCCACCAUUUUUCUACAUUUUCAAUGUAAAGAAUUUUCUUAGGGAGGAGCUGACACUAUAUUUUGCUGUUGGCUUGUCAUGGACGACAAAUUAGAGAAUGGAUGGCUAUUGUAUGAUAACACCAGGCUAGGGGACCUGCCUACACAGCAUCUGUCAGAAAGACUUCUGUGUCUGUGCGUUCAGCAUGUGUGACCCGGGGUGACUUGGUGUCACAAGACCCGCUUGUUGCGGAGGGUGUCAGUUUGCAACAAUUAUAAAGAAGCUUCCGGAUGCGAGAAGUAACUUCCAAAUGCCUUUCUUUUGCAACAUCAAGGAUACUGUCCUCCACAGUUGUCAAAAGGCAUGGCUGUACAACCUUGUAGGAGAAGCAGAGAGGAGAACCAAGAGAACUUCAGUUCAG